AUCACAGGCCGCGAGAAAGUGACUGUCUACCAGACACGCGCCCUGGGAAGAGGGCGAGCGGCGCGCUAAUGAAAGGCAGAUAAAGGGAUCGCAGGCGCAGACUGCACAUCGAGGCUUUUGUUGGUAUGUCUGCUCUCCCAGAGGAGUCCAGAUGUGAGGCACUGGAAGGGACUGGAGGGAUCUUAAUGGCUCCAAGUGUAUCUAUCUGAGACCAGAGAGGAAGAGAGUAUGCUUCUUUCCCACAUCAACGGGACCGAAAGGUUGAACUUCUUCAGCUCCUUUAGGACGGACAUCCUCUUGGCUAACAAUUACGCUGCUCCCACUUGAGACCCACAGCAUCGAUGAGGGAGUCCCACGGGGUUAAUAGGGGCGUUCACUUAAAAAAACAUUCAAAGAACCGUGUAGAUGCUGGCGCGCAAAAACAAAGGUGUUUUAAUUCUGCUAGAAGUGGAUAAAUAAAUGAUUUUGAAUUGUAGUCUUCUUCCAGCGUCUCUGUAGACCAGCAGUUAUUAUUUCUGACAGAAGAGAAUCCUUCAAUGAACUUAUUCACUUGGAUUACAUCUCAUGCUUGUAUGGUAGUUGAGUAGUGUGCUUGUUAUUUUUGGCCUUGUUUAAUCCCAAUGGGGAAGAUUGUUGCAUAGGGUCAGUAAAAAACAUAUUAAACUGUAUCAAAACAAAUUAGUUUGAUAAAUGAAAUUUCAUAUUUCAUAUCGUUUGGGGUGUUGAAUGUCCAUUACCAAUAAAAGGGUCCCGAGGACAAAAAAAGUUCCUUAACCAAAAAACUUCCAGUCGACUUCCCAGGCUUUUCCUUGUUCUGGGCUCCUCCAUGUAGGGCCGGUUCCCAGUCUGCUGUUCGCUUUUCCUUCCAGCCAGGUGUUGGUCCCCAGCCCGGCCUCAAUUGGGUGCCUUAAACACCUACAGCUGUGGGAUUGUUGAGGCCUUCUGGGAAAUGCAGUGUCAGUGGCGGCCAUCUUGUACCUAUUUUGCGCAGGGAUGCUGUGGCCCUCUAUUACCUUGCCCCUUAGGAUGCCACAUCUCAUUUUCAGGAUAGCAAAAUAAAUGACUUAAUUGCAGUGCUGCAAUUCAGUGUCCUCUCUUAUUUUGUGUAGCGUAGAUUCUCUUUGGGGAAUAAUGAGCACGAGGCGACCAGACUGGUUUCGCUCUCUGAAGUUUGUGCCAGAAACGCACAUCCUCGUUAGACUGCUCCACUGGUACUGAGAACUGAGAGUUCCCAGCAUCGCCCUUUGUGAGCCAUUGUGUUUGCAUCACUCUCCAGCCCCUAAACCUUCAAGUGUAUAAUUGAGUGGCUACAGAAUAUUUUCAUUAAGUCAGAAGUAUGUGUCCGGACAGAGUGAACGUCUCUGUACUCAGCCUAAUGUACUUCAGAGAACUCUGCUACGGGGGAAUUGAAUUGAAGGUCUUAAAGGGUCCACUUUGAAAUAGAUCAGUACCCGCUUACACCCCCCCCCCACCCCACCACUCACCCUGGAUAUGAGAGGUGCGGGCAUACAUUUCAAAAUGGACAGCGAAAGAAAUUAUUGAGUUUUCGUCAUUUUGAUCUGAGUAUUGAGAGGGGAUAAAAAGGCACAGUCCAAAGCGCAUCAGAAAAAAGGAGCUUACAUUUCCUAUAAUAUUAAACCGAAGUCAGCCUUUGAUCUUUUAAUCCUGCGCUCAUAAGGUUGUGAGAUAAGCAGGCAUGACUAACGUCUCUUUCUAAUAGUGAAGAAAGAGCAGAGCCCACAUAAUGAGCUCUUUUACCCCUUUUGAAGACAAAUUGGACUGAAAUUCCAUAUUUAAUGGAUCUUAC
ensembl:lncRNA